rnacentral:snRNA from 1 species
GUGGUUGCUUCAGAAGUACAUAUACUAAAAUUAGAACCAUGUAGAGAAGAUUAGGAUGGCCCUGGUGUAAGGAUGACAUAUAAAUUGAUGCAGUAUUUCAUAUUUUU